rnacentral:tRNA from 1 species
GCGCUCGUAGCUCAGCGGUUAGAGCGCCAAGCUUAUACCUUGGUGGUCGUAGGUUCGAAUCCUACCGAGCGCA